UGGGGAAUUUUGCGCAAUGGGCGAAAGCCUGACGCAGCAACGCCGCGUGGAGGAUGAAGGCCUUCGGGUCGUAAACUCCUGUCAGGGGGGACGAAAUCCCGCAAGGGAGUGACUGUACCCCCGGAGGAAGCCACGGCUAACUCCGUGCCAGCAGCCGCGGUAAUACGGAGGUGGCAAGCGUUGUUCGGAAUUACUGGGCGUAAAGGGCGCGUAGGCGGCAGGGCAAGUCAGGUGUGAAAGCCCCGGGCUCAACUCGGGAACUGCAUCUGAAACUGCUUUGCUUGAGUCCUGGAGGGGGUAGUGGAAUUCCCAGUGUAGCGGUGAAAUGCGUAGAUAUUGGGAGGAACACCGGUGGCGAAGGCGGCUACCUGGACAGUGACUGACGCUGAGGCGCGAAAGCUAGGGGAGCGAACGG
rnacentral:rRNA from 1 species